rnacentral:misc_RNA from 1 species
UCGAUGAAUUCGAGAAUCCCCUCACCGGCAUCGAGCUUGUCGGUAUCGAGACCGAGAAUAAUGCCGGAUACGACUUCGAGCCCGUAACUGUUCAGCGUUUGCACGCCCUCCAGGAUCGGCACCAUCAUGUUGUGCUGCUUCGACAUCGCCUUCAGCGCGUCGGGAUCCGGCGUCUCGAUGCCAGCAAACAAUGUCGUGAAGUAAGCAUCGCGCAUCAGCGACAGGAUUUCCGGACGCUUGGCGAUAUUCAGCGUCGCUUCGCAGGCGAACUGGAUCGCGUAUCCGUUGCGCUUCUGCCACUCGAUCAGGUGCGGCAGGAGGUCCAGUGCCGCCUUCCGGUUGCCGAU